GACGAACGCUGGCGGCGCGCUUAACACAUGCAAGUCGAGCGAGAACCAGUCCUUCGGGAUUGGGGAAAGCGGCGAACGGGUGAGUAACACGUGAGUAAUCUGCCCUCGGCACCGGGAUAGCCCGGGGAAACCCGGAUUAAUACUGGAUGGCCUUUCGAGCCUUCGGGCUCGUCAGAAAAGGUAGCUUCGGCUUCCGGCUGAAGAGGAGCUCGCGGCGGAUUAGCUUGUUGGCGGGGUAAUGGCCCACCAAGGCGACGAUCCGUAGCUGGUCUGAGAGGACGAUCAGCCACACUGGGACUGAGACACGGCCCAGACUCCUACGGGAGGCAGCAGUGGGGAAUCUUGCGCAAUGGGCGAAAGCCUGACGCAGCGACGCCGCGUGCGGGAAGAAGGCCUUCGGGUUGUAAACCGCUUUCAGGAGGGACGAGGCCACUCGGGUUAAUAGCCCAGAGGGUGACGGUACCUCCAGAAGAAGCCCCGGCUAACUACGUGCCAGCAGCCGCCGUAAUAC
rnacentral:rRNA from 1 species